GACGAACGCUGGCGGCGUGCUUAACACAUGCAAGCCGAACGCUCAAGCUUGGUGCUUGCACUGGGUGGAUGAGUGGCGAACGGGUGAGUAAUACGUGAGUAACCUGCCCUUGACUCUGGGAUAAGCCUGGGAAACUGGUUCUAAUACUGGAUACGACAUGCCACUGCAUGGUGGUGUGUGGAAAGGGCUUUUAUGGUUUUGGAUUGGCUGACGGCCUAUCAGCUUGUUGGUGGGGUAAUGGCCUACCAAGGCGACGACGGGUUGCCUGCCUGAGAGGGUUGCCGGACACACUGGGACUGAGACACGGCACAGACUCGAACGGGAAGCAGCGGUGGGGAAGAGUGCACAGUGGGCUGGGGCCUGAUGCAGCGACGCCGCGUGGGGGAUGACGGGCUUGGGGUUGUGAUCCUCUGUCAGCAUGGAAGAAGCGAGAGUGACGGUACCUGCAGAAGAAGCGCCGGCUAACUACGUG
rnacentral:rRNA from 1 species